GACGAACGCUGGCGGCGUGCCUAAUACAUGCAAGUCGAGCGGACAGAAGGGAGCUUGCUCCCGGAUGUUAGCGGCGGACGGGCGAGUAACACGUGGGCAACCUGCCUGUAAGACUGGGAUACCUCCGGGAAACCGGAGCUAAUACCGGAUAGUUCCUUGAACCGCAUGGUUCAAGGAUGAAAGACGUUUUCGGCUGUCACUUACAGAUGGACCCGCGGCGCAUUAGCUAGUUGGUGGGGUAAUGGCUCACCAAGGCGACGAUGCGUAGCCGACCUGAGAGGGUGAUCGGCCACACUGGGACUGAGACACGGCCCAGACUCCUACGGGAGGCAGCAGUAGGGAAUCUUCCGCAAUGGACGAAAGUCUGACGGAGCAACGCCGCGUGAGUGAUGAAGGUUUUCGGAUCGUAAAGCUCUGUUGUUAGGGAAGAACAAGUGCGAGAGUAACUGCUCGCACCUUGACGGUACCUAACCAGAAAGCCACGGCUAACUACGUGCCAGCCGCCGCCGUAA
rnacentral:rRNA from 1 species